rnacentral:misc_RNA from 1 species
AAGUCGUAACAAGGUUUCCGUAGGUGAACCUGCGGAAGGAUCAUUAACACAUAUCGUUAUAUAUACAAUAUAUAAGAAGUUAUAUAUAUAUAUAUAAUUAUAUAUACACCAAACAUUGUGAUCAACUUUUUUUUUCCACACCCUUUUUUCAACAAAAAUACAUAUAUUCUUUAUAUAUUAAAUAAAUAACAAGAUUACAAUUAUACAAAUUAUAUAUCAUAUAAUUAAACACUAUAUUGAUAUGUUUUUGUGUUUUGUUCUAUCAUGUUAAUUAGUAUAAUUUACAUUUUUUUUUUAUGUAAUAAUAUGAAUUUAGUUUAUAUUAUCUCUUAUAAAAAAAGAAAAACAAAACAAUACAACUGUUAACAAUGGAUAUCUUGGUUCUC